GCUUGCUAUCUGGGUGGCGACCGGCGCACGGGUGCGUAACGCGUAUGCAACUUGCCCUAUACAGGAGGAUAACCCGUCGAAAGACGGACUAAUACUGCGUAUGCUCACAACUUGGCAUCAAGAAGUGAGGAAAGAAAUUCGGUAUAGGAUAGGCAUGCGUCCCAUUAGCUUGUUGGUGAGGUAACGGCUCACCAAGGCAACGAUGGGUAGGGGAACUGAGAGGUUUAUCCCCCACACUGGUACUGAGACACGGACCAGACUCCUACGGGAGGCAGCAGUGAGGAAUAUUGGUCAAUGGGCGAGAGCCUGAACCAGCCAAGUCGCGUGAAGGAUGACUGUCUUAUGGAUUGUAAACUUCUUUUAUACGGGAAUAACAAGAGUCACGUGUGACUCCCUGCAUGUACCGUAUGAAUAAGCAUCGGCUAACUCCGUGCCAGCAGCCGCGGUAAUACGGAGGAUGCGAGCGUUAUCCGGAUUUAUUGGGUUUAAAGGGUGCGUAGGCGGUUUGUUAAGUCAGCGGUGAAAUCUAGAGGCUCAACCUCGAAACUGCCGUUGAAACUGGCGAACUUGAGUGUAGAUGAGGUAGGCGGAAUUCGUGGUGUAGCGGUGAAAUGCAUAGAUAUCACGAGGAACUCCAAUUGCGAAGGCAGCUUACUAAGGUACAACUGACGUUGAAGCACGAAAGCGUGGGUAUCAAACAGGAUUAGAUACCCUGGUAGUCCACGCAGUAAACGAUGAUAACUGGGCGUAUGCGAUAUACAGUAUGCUCCUAAGCGAAAGCGUUAAGUUAU
rnacentral:rRNA from 1 species